AUCCUACUCCCUCCAUUCGGAAUUACUUGUCUCGGAAAUGGAUGUAUCUAGAUGUAUUUUAGUUCUAGAUACAUCCAUUUCCGAGACAAGUAAUUCCGAACGGAGGGAGUACUUG
rnacentral:pre_miRNA from 1 species